GUGUGUGUGUGUGUUUGUGUGUGUGGAUAUAUCUAUAUAUAUAUAUAUAUAUAUAUAUAUAUAUAGAUAUAUCCACACACACACACGCGG